GAGUUUUUGGAAACUCAAAGCUGUGGUCUUGACCAUAUGAAUUUUGAGUUUCCAAAAACUUAAUUAAGUCAUAUAAACCCAUAUAUCUAUAUUAUAUAUGUAUGAAUCUACGGAAAUUGUUCAAAUACCAUUUAUGUCAAUGACUUGAAAAAAAAACACAAAGAAUCAUCCUUUUUAUAUAAAGACAAGCCUCCCUACACCCUCAUACCUCUUGCUAAUUAUAAAUAUUCUGAGAUCUCAUAUUCCACGAGGAUAAUGAUAUAUUCCCCUACCCAGCGAUUGUCAAUUUUGCACACCUGUCAACCAUCUGUUUAGUUAAUAAAAUUGCUAUACAGAUAUCAACCAACAUACCAUUCGACAAACUCACUGGGACCCAUAUUUUUAUAUAUUUAUUUAAAUAGGUAUAGAUAGGUUGAUACAUAUACAAACAUAAACUAUCUUCUCAGCCAAGGCAUUGGAAAGUUUGAAGGGUUGUUUCAAAGGCUGGACCUAUUCUCACAGAUCUAACAUUAUGGUAGUACUUAAAUUUUGUUCUGCUAAGAGUGGGCUCAUCCUGUGUGACUCUUAGGUCAGUUUCUAAAGCUGUUCAUGCUAGUUGGACCCCCUAGGAGAUCUUACUCUUAAUAACAGUGGAAAUGAGAUCCAGCUUUGCAAGUAUAUUCAGAGAAGACCAAAUAGUUGCUGUAGUAAAAGCAUCAAGAGCUACAUUUCUGAAAAAGGCUACCGAGUCAAGCUCUAGUCGAAUAAGAUACAUUAACUCUUGAUUUUCGUGUGCUUAACCCUGCAGUAUUUUAAAUAAUCAGAAAAUCAUCUGCAAAGUAUAUGUCUGGAAACUGUCUCAGAUUGUUAGAGGAGGAAAAACAGCUAGGCACUUUUGCACUUGGACUUGGUUCUGUCCACUUAAUACUCCAAAUUGAUGAUGAGCAUCUCUGCAGCUUAGCAAGUAUUUGUAAUGGUUUCCAAAGGAUGGAAAGAAUACAGAGACUUAUAUGAAAGGUCAGAGUAAUCUCAGUUGCAACUGCAAGCAAACAGGUGAAAAAAGAUGCAUCAGCAUAAAGAGCAUGACUCUCAGAAAUCCUUCUAGUUGAUGACAGUAGCUACCAAGAAGAUUAUAUUCUAUGUAAUGGAUUUUAACUCUGAAUAGUCAGUAGGCUCAAAAGGAGACUGAGCCACCUUUUUUGGGAUAAAGUGAAUGUUGCGAAGAGGCACUGGAGCUCAUAGUGGGAGCCUGAUUCAGAAACUCUUCUUAAGGAAGGAUUUGAAAACUUUCAAAUAAACUGAGAAAUUAUAGUUUUGCCCUUGUGAAAGUUAGAGAUGUGCCAAAUGUACUAUACAGGAGGAGGAGGAGUAACUUAAUGCAGUUUCAAAUAAAUCUAGAUACUCCACUAUGUGGGAAUAUGGCAUAAAAGGGAUCUAGGCCCUUGGAAUAACACCAAAGUGAAAAUAGCAUCCACCUAUCAUUACAAGCUUUCCAAGUGUUGGACUUCUUUAGAAAAGGGAGUGUAUUAUCCACUUUUUUCAAAAUGAGAGGGUUACUAGCAACUACUAAAAGUGGACAAGCUAAGCAGUUAUUCUUAUUAGGGGUACUAUAUAAUUAUCCAUCAUGGGAUGGUUAAGGCAGGUAUACAACCAAAUGGGGUAGGUUAUUUUGAGCACAGAAAAGGGAAAAUGGCUGGGCUUAAAAUUGCCACCAAGGGCAAAUAGUCUAGUACUUACCUAAGAACCAAUGAACUUACAAGAAGGCUGCUUGUCAUGGACUUGAGUAAGGGGGAUAAGUCAAGUACUUUUCAGGGCAAAAUCCAUUACACCUCCACUUUAGGUAUAUUAAUGGCUGCAAGGGGAAUUAAUACAUCCAGACCCUUGAAACACCUCCCGUAUAAAAGAGAAUGAAAGAGGUAAGUCAAAUAUGAUGGUUAACAGAUAUUACAGAGCAAGAACAAAAUAGAAGAGUGAGGAAAGAGACCUCAACACUCACCAAGGCGUCCGGUUUGUGUGCUGUACCUACAGCAACACAAAUAAGAUGGAAAUGAUUUAAUUGUUAGGGAGGAGAAACAAAAAAUAACGUUUUAAAUAUGGAUACAUUUUAAAAAGCAUAUCUUGCAAGACCCCAAUGAUAGUGAAUCAUUGGUACUAAUACACAUAAUAAUACAAUGCAGACACAUAUAUUAAGGCAGAGAAAUAGCCUGUAGAAAUUGCAGAUAAAGGCUAAAAGCAACUGUUGAUUGAAUAUUAAGCAGAGGUACUCAAGCAAAGUGUUACAAGGUAUCUUAUGGUGUCUUCUUUGCUGGUGCAAGUGGUUCUAAAAGAGACCUCUGAAUUAAAAUUAGUCAGUAACAAGCAGGAUAUUCAACUAGAACACAUGUUGGUGGCUCUGAAAGAUCACCAGAUGGAGCUCUUUACACACAACAAAACAGUCAACUAACUGUUUUCCAAAAAAAAAAAAAAAAAAAAAACUAGUAUUCGAUGAGCAUGACAAUGAUAGCAUCUCUAAAUAAUGGGUCUACCAGAGGGGAAGGAAGAAAGUGACUCUUUGUAUUUUGUUAGUUGGAGUUGGCAAAAAGCUAUAAUAUGAAUAGACAACAUAUAAAUGAGAGGGCUUACAGAGUCCUGUCCAAGAAUAAAAUUAACGUACACACCUCCACACUUGAUAAUAGUAACAGAGAACUGAUCUUGAGGAAAUGCAUGCUGCUAACUUUAUUUAGCAGGAGAACCAUUUAGGUAUACCCCCAGACGACAGUUCAAGUUUAAAGACCAUGCAAUAAGAGUUGCAUGCUGCUGUUAAAGAAUCAUAAAAGACAUUUUGAAAGCAAUUAAUAUGAGAGAUGGCAAGGUAUUGACUCCACUCUACAUUGCCCUUAUUAGAUCCCUUUUUUUGUAUAUAAAACAAAACUGGUAUAAAAAAGUUGGAGUGCUCAGUGAACCUUUAUGAUACAAAUUUUUGGUCUUUGUGGGAUGGACUGCAAAGAUAGAUUAAGGGCCUUAAAGCUUUACUCUGUGACUUUUAUAGUUCUGAGGAGUGAUGCUACUAUGAUAUUUAACGGGCAAAUAAUAUUAACUUAACAUCAGUAUAUGAUAUUACAUUUACUUGAACACAGUUUAAAUAUAAGGUAUAAAAAUCCUUUGGUUAUGUUAUAUGGGGCAUCUUCCUGAACGUGUAAACAUAAGGUAUAAAAAUCCUUUGAUUAUGUUACAUGGGGCAUUUUCCUCAAAUUAAACAGUGUCAUUUAUGGGGAGUUGCAAACUGUAGGACCCUUUACCAUUAAAUAUAAUGUUUUCAACUUCUUUAGUUAUCUUUGAGAAGGAAAUGAAUAGGUGGGUUGGUGAGCUGGCUUUUGAGACUACCCUGUGCAGUGACAAACUCCUUGGUGGCCAGAUUUUGUGGUCUUGAGUUGCUUUUACCACAACAUUGAACACUGAACAGCAAGUCACAAUUUAUGAAAAGGAAAACAAUGUAAAAAGCAUAUCAGAAAGCUCAAUAUAUCUUGUCACCUUUACUUCCCAACCAUAAUGAAUACUGAGUUUUGUAGUAUAUGCUAACCCUCUCUGCAAUUUUUUUUGCAUGCUUGAUAUGGAUGAAGGUCUCUUCUUAGAGUUGAUAUAUAUAUAAAACUUUUGCGGUGAUGUGGGAUUUCCCCUCACAUCAGGGGACAGAGGGGGAGCAAGCAAAAAAGAAGUUUAAAGGAGAAGAGCAAUGUUUGAGAUUCACCCUUCUGCAGUUUAGGUCUUUUUUUCGGCUUGUCGACACUUAGCAUUUCAAGAGCCCACAUUUCAGCAGGGAGCCAUGUGUCUGUAUGUAUGUGUGUGUGUGUAAGGGGACAGAAACAAAGAGAGAGUGGGUGAGAAGGGAAUGCCUGCUGUUGUGCCAUGAGGUUAUACUGCCACCUACUUAAACAAGCCGAAGUUGUAAUACUUAAUUUCUUUGAUGCCAUGCACAUAAACACAAUAUAAAGCAAGAAAAAAUCCACUUUCCUAAUCUUGAUUUCAUUAGGAAUUAGUUUUAUUAAUAGAGUUUUAAACACUGUAAUUUUGUUGUUAAUGUGUGAGUUGAAUACUUAUUUUCACACUUGUGCCCUUAUAUUACCAGAUUAUCCAAGCUUAAACUCAUUGUUACUUUACAUUAUUUUAGGACAUCUAAGGUAGCAUGGGGCAUUGUUCACUGGAACUUCUGUUCCAGCAUGUAGACAUUAUUUCAGUUAGUAAACAGACAGCGUUAUUAUUACUGUGUUUGUCUUGUCACUUACUUUAUGCUGUUAAUAUAUGUUUUUCAAGUUUGGAUUUCUGUACAUUAAACAUAUCAACACACAUUAUUAAUGGUUCCACAAAUGGGAUAAAGCUGUAUACUCUUUCUAUUGGUACCUCUCACCAUCUGAGUUUCACAGUGAUGUCUUGCAAUGUAGAAGGCUUAAGCAUAUCUACAAAACAAAAGGCCUGCAUGGAUUCUGUUUCAAGAGGUAAAGCAAACAUUGCUGUUAUUGCAAUAAAAAACAGAAAAAUCUAAUGCAGCACAUUUUUUUAGAAAAUGGAUAGUAUUGGAAGUCUCUCAAUACCUUCCCAAAAAUGUGCUUCUGUUUUAGUGGGUAAGAUCUUAUAAUAGUCACUGGAAUUAUUUAAAUGAAAUUUAGCCGUGAGUUAGAUAGUAGAUGAGGUCUUGUAGUUUUAGGCAGCAUUUAUGGAUUUGACAUAGAAGAACCCCAACCACUAAAUGAUAUGGCAGUGGGUAUUGACAUCCUAGAGGUAUAAGAUGCAUCUCUUCUGAUUUGUAUUGAUUUUAAUGUAACAACAGAUCCAGCAGAAAUUGGAACACAUGGCGGGAGAACUAUGAUUUAUAUAAUUACAGAUGUAUUAUAAGGAUGAUUUAGGAAUCAUGCAUUAGGAGAUACUUGGGGAUCUAUGAACCCUACAACUUAAGAGUAUACAUCUUUAUCAGUGAGUAGCUCUAUAAGUAGACUAGAAUAUAAUUUUAUAAGCCUGGCUAAGGUGCAUAGCAUUUUAUCAGCAGACCAUGAUACUGAUUUCCUUCCAAACUGUAACUUCAUUUUUCUUAAUAUGGAAGACCAAGAAUUUCCCUGCCUACUGCCAUUCUAAAUGUUUGCCAUUCUGCUAGUUAAAAUUGCUAAAGGCAAUGAAUUAAUUUAGUCAGUCAUUCAAUCUUACAGGGAGGGCAAAAAAUGGUACUUACACUUAAAACAUGCGAAAUGGAAGUGUUUCCAAAAUCAUUAAUCAAUCACUGGGUGGAGCAUUGGUGCAGCUGUUAAUAUUGUCACCUCACAGCAAGUGGUUCUCCAGUUCGAUUCUUGGCUGGGUUGUCUUCUGUGCAGAGUCUGCAUAUCCUCCCUGUGUUCGCAUGGGCCUCCAGUGAAAACAGGCUCUGUCCUAGUUGGACUUUCCCAGUCAACAAAUGUUAAAUAAAUUAAUUAAAAGAUUACACAGUUGGAAAGACAAAGUGCAGCAUCUACAUGGGAACAAUUAAGCAAAUGUAAAAUAGAAUCAGUGACCCUGUGAGUCAAUAUAAUGAACCCAAAGGUAACACUAAAUUGAUAUUCAACAACUCAAGAAGGAAUGUAAAAUCUUACAGUGCAAUAGUCAAGACAUCGAAUGAGAAUACUGGAAUCUUUUCCAAAGUGCCAUCAGGACUGCAUCUCCCAAAUGUCUAGUUCACACACUAAGAUAGCAGAAUAUGAAAAUGUCUAUCCUGCCCCUAGGAAAUGGUCAAUGUACCCUCUUCAAACUGAACAUUAAUAACAUCAUGAUGGAAAAGUCUUAUAAUCUUUGCUGUUAAGGACUCUUAUACACAUCUAAAGAAGACAAUCUUUCCUCCAACAGAUACCCCAUCCACAGAAGUUAGUGACAAGACUAUGAUAAUUUUUAAGCCCUUUUGUAUUGGAAGGAAUUCCAAAGUACAUUAAUGGUCUCUCUUCAGGUAAAAUUCCAGAUCCUGACAAUCUUCCAACAAAAUUCUAAAAGGUUUUUAAAUCUCUCCUUUUGUGCCCAUUUUUCAUUUAGUUUAGGUUUUUGGAAAAUCAGGCAAAAUCUGGGUCAACUAACUUACUCAAUGAAACCUGUCCCAAGAAUUUUAGUCAGAUAUCUUCUCAUACUGACUAUUAGCCAAUAUUUUUACUUCAGUUUGAAAUAAAAAAAUUAUGUUAAAAUUCUUACAAAACAAUUAGAAAAGGUAUUUAUAUUGUUUAGUCUAAUCCAAAUCUUCAUCACCUCAAUGACUUUAGCAAGUCAGUCCUGUCCGUCAGUAACUGCCUCCUUAAUUUCUUGCAUGCUCAUGUUCAUUGCUUCAGUAAUAGUGUAAUGCACCUUAGUCUCUGCCACCUCUUUCUUCUUUUGCUUUUGAUCUUUUGCAGCAUUUGCAGCUUCUCUGAUGAAUUCAGUCUAUGCAUUAUGUUGCUAAAGUAUAUGAGUUUUAGCUUUACUAUUAGGCCUUUCCAUGAGCAGUCUGAAUUGAUUUUCAUAUCCAUUGAAUGUUUCAAACAUAUUGCAGUCCAUGAAAUUCUUGAAAGUGUUCUCCAGUACCAUAUUUGAAAAAUAUCAAUUUUCCAGAGCAGCUCUCACAGCCAUAUGUUACUACUUGGAAGACCAUUUUCCUUGACAAACUUCUACUGACAAUGAGACAUAUUUACCAUAUAUUUCCUUCCAAAAAGCAAGUGUCUCUCAAUUUUAUGGCUGCAACUACCUUCUGCAGAGAUCUUUGAGCUCAGGGAAGUAAAAUUAUCCCCUUUUCCACUUCUUACCCAUCUAUCUUCAAAGAAGUGGUUUGGCUAGAUAACAUAAUUUUAGUUUAUUUUUAAUGUUGAGCCACAAAGCAGCUAUUAUACUUUCUACAUUCACCUGCAUGAGCAGACUCUUCACCUCUUCCUCACAUUCAGCAGUUACAGCGGUAUCAUCUACAUAAUUGAGGUUGUUCAUUUUUCCUCCCAGUUAUAUUUAUUCCACUGUAUGAUUUUGUUUAACCCUGAAUUUUGCAUGACAUAUUCAGCAUACAACUCGAAUAACUAGGUCUUGCCUUGAUCCCUCCCCAGUCUUUAACCAGUGCAUUAUUCAAUAUUAAUUUCUAAUUAUUGAUUUGCAUUGUGCAACAAGAAAAUAUAUUACGUAAACUGAUUCAUUCUUCACAAUAAGGUUCUGCUAAAGUAGACAGGGUAGCCUAGAGCUAGACUGAUGCUAAACAUUGUCUAAUUAUGACACUAAAUUUAAAGACAGUCCUACCAUUGCGUUUUUUUUUUCAAUUACAUAAGG